AGGGUGGAGGAAGUCGACGAGCUCAUCGAUUCUGUUGGGACCUUCAUCUUCGCUUCCGAAGUUCGGUCUUCGGUAAUUAUUCGGAAGGGAGAUAAAUUGAUCGAUGGGGUGCCCAAGACUCUUGAUAUGCUAAGAUCUAAGGGUAUGGUUUACCAAAUGAAAGAAGAAGCAACUAAGGGAUGAACCUGUGAGCCAAGCCGGCAUUAAGAUCGAGCUUCACAUCCCCUGAAACUGGAUUGUGGGCAGAGCCUAGAUCUACAAGAUGAUACCUGAACUCAAGCAACUGCAUUCUUUGUGAAGAGCAUAUGUUGACUGCUUUACCACUGGAAACUGGUAAUUGCUCUUUCGCCAUUGGAUUUAAAUAUUUACUGAUACUUAUACCAUGUUCUAACCCAAAAUAAAGCUGCCAGUUUCUGUGUAUCGAAUAACAUAUCCAAAGGCAAAGAAGUUCCACUGCAUUUAGCAUUUUAGCAAUCUGCAGUGGACCUUAUUAUUAACAUUCAAAAAAAUCAGUUGGCCUGAUAUGGACCAGCUGUUAUUUAUUGUGCCCAUCAGGAACUGGCACUCGGACCAGACAAUUUCAUCCUAUCCAGUUUGAAAUAUUUUAUUUAUUUUUCUUAUAUUGACUGCCAACAA